AGUGAACGCUGGCGGUAGGCCUAACACAUGCAAGUCGAACGGCAGCACAGUAAGAGCUUGCUCUUACGGGUGGCGAGUGGCGGACGGGUGAGGAAUACAUCGGAAUCUACUUUUUCGUGGGGGAUAACGUAGGGAAACUUACGCUAAUACCGCAUACGACCUACGGGUGAAAGCAGGGGAUCUUCGGACCUUGCGCGAUUGAAUGAGCCGAUGUCGGAUUAGCUAGUUGGCGGGGUAAAGGCCCACCAAGGCGAGGAUCCGUAUCUGGUCUGAGAGGAUGGUCAGCCACACUGGAACUGAGACACGGUCCAGACUCCUACGGGAGGCAGCAGUGGGGAAUAUUGGACAAUGGGCGCAAGCCUGAUCCAGCCAUACCGCGUGGGUGAAGAAGGCCUUCGGGUUGUAAAGACCUUUUGUUGGGAAAGAAAAGCAGCAGGUUAAUACCCCGCUGUUCUGACGGUACCCAAAGAAUAAGCACCGGCUAACUUCGUG
rnacentral:rRNA from 1 species